CUCAGAGGUUGAUGAGGGGAGUUUGUUCAGGGGCCUCUCUUCCCAGCUCCAUCUUCUGAGGAGGAAAGAGUGGGAUUCAGCUGGCAGAGCCCAAGUACCCAGGUCACAGGCAGAUUUUCUUAUGCCUCUCUCACCAGAGAACCCUGAGCCUUGUGUCUGGGGUUCCAGGGACCUGCCCGGUCCUGGGGGUCCUCCCUACCCAUUCUGAUCGGCAGCUGCCUGCUGCCCAUUCCAAAUUCAGUUCCAGGGACACAGCUCCGAAAAGGCCCCACGGGAGGGAGGGAGAGACCUAAGGGGAGGGGCUAUCUCCCCUCAGCCCAGCCUGCGGCUCCCAGCUGCAUGUAUAAGUGAUGAGGCUCCACAGCCCCAACAGGAACCAAUAUAAUGGCAGGUGCGCCGGGUCAGCUGGAGAGACAGAUAGCAGGACGCGGGAGUGACAGGCGGUGCAAUUAUGCUGAGCCUCCUGCAAAGGCGGCAGAGAAGGCCCCGCCUGGCCAGCAUGGCCCGCAGCCUCCCCACUCCCUCCCACAGGCCUUCCAGCCCCACCAGCCCCCAGCCCCACUCCAAGCAGGCACCCACAAAUGGCUGGACAUCAAGAGGAGCAUGUCAGAGGAGGAGCACGCGGGCUGCUGGAUGUCGAGAGGAAUGUACCGAUAGUCCCUGGCAUGAUGGCAGGCCAUCGACCAUCGACCAGCUGAACUAGCAGAGUUUGGCUGAGGCAGAGUUUGGCUGGGAAGUCAGAGGAGAGUGGCCCAACUGCAGGGGAAAACCAUCCCCCUUCUGGCUCCCCCAUCUGCUGAGGGCUACUUCCACUCAAUAAAACCUUGCACUCAUUCUCCAAACC
rnacentral:lncRNA from 1 species